rnacentral:lncRNA from 1 species
CUGUUACAAUCCUCCUCAAGCUUCUUACAAGGCUCAAACAGUGAGAUAGCAGUGAGCUUCUAAUGGCUCUAACUGUUGGCUCUUAAAGAGAGAGAGAGAGUGAAAAUAAAUGGUGUGAGGGAGAAGAGAGCUUAAUACCUUGUUGGCUGGGUGGCAGUCCAAGGCUGGAUAAGUGGCAAGCACCACACAUGCACAAGGAUAAGUGGCGUAUGUGGCAACAUGCAUCUGGCAAGUGGUAGUGACACGCACGACGCUAGUCCAUUUUGCUCCAUCUUACUGUCGCUUGUGAAAAUUCUUCUUCUUCUUCUUCUUCUUAUACACUCACGGAGCUGCCUCUUUCUCCCCCUUUCACGUGCAGCGUUACGCUCGCGCGUUGCUUCUUUUCUCUCUUCACACACGGUGAUGCCCCUCUCUUCACAGACGAAAUGCCCCAAACGGUGCUGACCAUUCACCUCUUCACGAGCAACGCUGGUAUUCUCUCUCUUCACACGCAGCGAUACCUUUCGUGGACAUCGAUACUCCCUUGACACGCACAGCGGUAAGCUUCCCCUUUUACUGCCGCGCGCGCUUCGUUCCUAUCAAACUCCUACCGUCGUAUGUGCUUCUGUGGCCAGGAAAUCGUGGUCCUUACACUUUUAAUAUUGAAAACCCUCUAAUUGAUCGUCUCGACACCGAGAUGUCUAUCUAUGAAAAAACAGAAAAAGUUUUUAAGUCUCAAAAAUAGUGCAUCUUGCAACACAUUAUCUAGACCGUCCAUUUUCAUGAUUUACAUAUGUUUAUAGAUUUACUCGAUUUUAACCAUUUGUAGGGUUUAAAAUUCUAUAAUUAGAUAUGAAAAUAGAUUUUCAGAUAAUCCAAAGACGUGUUUUAUACAAAAAUUACAUGUUAUGAUAAAAUUUGGAGGUGCACCUUAAUUAGAUUGUUUAAGGUUGCAACCUUAUGGAAACCACAUCCCAUAUAUAAUAUUAUGUUUUAUAUAUAUUAAAUGUGGGUGCGGUUUGUAUAGAGCCGAGGCUCUAAACACUCAAAUUAGA